rnacentral:rRNA from 1 species
UACGAAGGGGGCUAGCGUUGUUCGGAAUUACUGGGCGUAAAGCGCGCGCAGGCGGUCUUCCAAGUCAGUGGUGAAAGCCCGGAGCUCAACUUCGGAACUGCCAUUGAAACUGUUAGACUUGAGGACGAGAGAGGUGAGUGGAAUUCCCAGUGUAGAGGUGAAAUUCGCAGAUAUUGGGAAGAACACCGGUGGCGAAGGCGGCUCACUGGCUCGUAUCUGACGCUCAGGCGCGACAGCGUGGGGAUCAAACAGG